GCCAGGCAUGGUGGCACGUGCCUGUGGUCCCAGCUACUCGGGAGGCUGAGGCAGGAGGAUCACUUGAGCCCAGGAGUUUGAGGCUGCAGUGAGCCGUGAUUGCACCAUUGCACUCCUGCCUGGGCAACAGAGUGAGACCCUAUCUCUA
rfam:Homo sapiens chromosome 19, GRCh38 reference primary assembly.